AUGUGGCUCAGUUGGUAGAGUGCUUGCCUAGCAUGCAUGAAUCCCUGGGUUCUAUCCCCAGCAU
rnacentral:tRNA from 1 species